rnacentral:misc_RNA from 1 species
UACGGAGGGUGCAAGCGUUGUUCGGAAUCAUUGGGCGUAAAGCGCGCGCAGGCGGCCUUUUAAGUCUGAUGUGAAAGCCCGGGGCUCAACCCCGGAGGAGCAUUGGAAACUGGAAGGCUUGAGACCGAGAGGGGUCAGUGGAAUUCGUGGUGUAGGGGUGAAAUCCGUAGAGAUCACGAGGAACACCGGUGGCGAAGGCGACUGACUAGAUCGGGACUGACGCUGAGGCGCGAAAGCGUGGGGAGCAAACAGG